AGCAGCCGCGGUAAUUCCAGCUCCAAUAGCGUAUAUUAAAGUUGUUGCAGUUAAAAAGCUCGUAGUUGAAUUUCGGGAUCAAUGUUUCGGUCAUGCCCUUGGUAUGUACUGAUAUUAUUGGUUUCUCACCUUCUAAAGAACCGUAAUGCCAUUAAUUUGGUGUCACGGGGAAUUAGGACUGUUACCUUGGAAAAAAUUAGAGUGUUUAAAGCAGGCUCACGCUUGAAUACAUUAGCAUGGAAUAAUGAAAUAGGACAUCCGAUUCUAUUUUGUUGGUUUCUAGGAUCGAUGUAAUGAUUAAUAGGGAUAGUUGGGGGCAUUAGUAUUCAAUUGUCAGAGGUGAAAUUCUUGGAUUUAUUGAAGACUAACUACUGCGAAAGCAUUUGCCAAGGAUGUUUUCAUUAAUCAAGAACGAAAGUUAGGGGAUCGAAGACGAUCAGAUACCGUCGUAGUCUUAACCAUAAACUAUGCCGACUAGGGAUCGGAUGAUGUUAAUUUUUUAAUGACUCA
rnacentral:rRNA from 1 species